UGAAUAAUUGCCUUGUUUUCGGUUUUUCACUAUGAUAAAUUCUGCAAUGACUAUCUUUGUACAUAAAACCUUUUCUGUUCCCAUCUAGGCAACUUCUAUAGAAAAGUCCACCUUCAGGAAGAGGAUUCGUGGGUCACAGUGGUGCUUCUUUCCAUGACCUUGGAAAGUUUGGCCAUGCAGUCUCCCAAAGCAAGAAUAUUCCAACACUGACUUAUCCAUUCUCCUGCUGAUGGACAGUUGAGUUGUUUCCAGUUUGAAGAGCAUGAGCUAUGGAGCUGGAGUACCUGGGCUUAAAACCAGACAUUUCUAGCCCUGGCCUCACCGGCCGCAUGACUUGAGGCCUGACACUUAGUAGAGAGGAAAAUAUACAAAUGGCCAAUAAGCACAUGAGCACAUCAUUUGUCAUCAGGGAAAUGAAAAUCCAAACCACAAUGAGAUAGCACAUCACACCUACUCACAGAGCUAGCAAAAGAUGGGAUAAUAACAAGCCUUCAUGAGGAUCUGGAAAAAUUGGAGCCUUCCUACACUGCUGAUGGGAUAUAAAAUGGCAAAGCUGUUCUGGAAAAUCAUCUGACAGUGAGCAUUCGCUACUUUACAAAAGAAGAAACAAGACUAUUUUGUUGAAGUGUGCCAAUGUGAAAGGGUUAGUUAGUUAUUAUUGGUCUGAAUACGUGGACUUUGGAGCCUGGCAGGUCAACAAUGACACGCGGAAAAGCACACAACACAAGGGUGACUGCAGAUUGCUGGGCAGAGGGCGUUUACUUUCUGGUCCACUGAAUACCCCGCUCUGGAUGCUAGCGGCCAAGUUUCCUCCUGUGUUAUGUGGGAGGAAAAAGGAUGUCAGAAACUUGUCUGCUAAAGGAAGAGUGUUAUGGGCUGAAUUACAUCACGCUAAAAUUCAUACGUGGGAGCCCUAACUCAUACUACCUCAGAAUGUGACUGGAUGAGAUAGGGUCUUUAAAGGGCAAUUAAAUGAAGGUGAGGCCAUUAGGGUGGGCUCUAAUCCAAUCUGAUUGGUGUUCUUAUAAGAAGAGGAAGUAAGACUCACUGAGAGACCCCAGGAAUGUGCACACACAGAGAAGAGACCCUGUGAGGACACAGCCAGAAGGCAGCCAAGGAGAGAGGUCUCAGAAGAAACUAAACUCAUCAGCACCUUGAUCUUAGACUUCUAGCUUCCAGAACUUGGGAGAAAAUAAGUGUCUGUUGUUUAAGCUGCCCUGUCUGCUAUUUUGUUAUGGUAGCCCAGCAAAUGAAUACAAGGAUACUCAUGAUUUUAAGUUUC